GGGGCUGUAGCUCAGUGGUAGAGCACUCACCUAGCAUGUGUGAGACCUAGGUUCGAUCCUCAGCACCA
rnacentral:tRNA from 1 species